rfam:Brachypodium distachyon strain Bd21 chromosome 1, whole genome shotgun sequence.
AUGAUACUUCCUCCGUCCAGUAAAAGAUGUCUCAACUUUGACUAAAUUUGAAUGCAUCUAUACACUAAGUCAUGUCUAGAUACAUCCAAAUUUUAAAAAACUUAAAACAUCUUUUUUUGGACAGAGAGAAUAUGAU